UCAAGCUGGAAAGAGCGCAAGGGGAAUGCCUUGGCAUCAGGAGCCGAAGAAGGACGUGACAAGCUGCGAAAAGCCUCGGGGAGGAGCAAAUAUCCAUUGAUCCGGGGAUAUCCGAAUGGGGCAACCCGGCUGGACAAUAUCCAGUCAUCCUGCGUUGAACAAAAUAGGCGUAGGAAGGGAACCGCCUGAACUGAAACAUCUAAGUAGGGCGAGGAAGAGACAUCAACCGAGAUUCCGCAAGUAGUGGCGAGCGAACGCGGAAGAGGCCAAACCGAGGGAUUUAUUCCUCGGGGUUGCGGACAGUCAUUUAGCGGAAGUUAUCUAGGAGAAGGGUCUGGGAAGGCCCGCCACAGAGGGUGAGAGCCCCGUAUCCGAAAGAGAAGGCCGUGCGACUGGAUCCAGAGUACCGCGGGACACGUGAAACCCCGUGGGAAACAGGGGGGACCACCCUCCAAGCCUAAAUACUACCUGAUGACCGAUAGAGGAGCAGUACCGUGAGGGAAAGGUGAAAAGGACCCCGGGAGGGGAGUGAAAGAGAACCUGAAACCUUGUGCUUACAAGCUGUCAAAGCACGUUAACGUGUGAUGGCGUACUUUUUGUAGAACGGUCCGGCGAGUUAUAGUAACGAGCGAGCUUAAGGCAUUCAGUGCCGGAGGCGAAGCGAGAGCGAGUCUGAAUAGGGCGUAAAGUUCGUUGCCAUAGACCCGAAACCGGGUGACCUACCCAUGAGCAGGUUGAAGUGGGGGUGAAACCCCAUGGAGGACCGAACCGACCCCCGUUGCAAUGGUGGCGGAUGACUUGUGGGUAGCGGUGAAAUUCCAAUCGAACUCGGAGAUAGCUGGUUCUCCCCGAAAUAGCUUUAGGGCUAGCGUUAUGUUAGAUUACCGGAGGUAAAGCACUGAAUGGUAGCGGGGCCGAUAAGGUUACCAACGCCUAUCAAACUAAGAAUGCCGGCUAAUUGAUGCAUAGCAGUCAGACAGUGUGAGAUAAGUUUCAUUGUCAAAAGGGAAACAGCCCAGACCUACAGCUAAGGUCCCGAAUAGAUGCUAAGUGGAAAACGAUGUGGAGUUGCGAAAACAACCAGGAUGUUGGCUUAGAAGCAGCCACUCAUUAAAAGAGUGCGUAAUAGCUCACUGGUCGAGUGACUCUGCGCGGAAAAUGUAACGGGGCUAAGCAUCUAACCGAAGCUUAGGAUUGUCGUAAGACAGUGGUAGGGGAGCGUUCCAUGUGGGGUGAAGUCGCAGCGGAAGCAGCGGUGGACUGCAUGGAAGUGAGAAUGCCGGAAUGAGUAGCGAGAAUUAUGUGGGAAUCAUAAUGGCCGAAAAUCUAAGGUUUCUUGGGGAAGGUUCGUCCGCCCAAGGUAAGCCGGGAGCUAAGGCGAGGCCGAAAGGCGUAGUCGAUGCACAUACGGUAGAAAUUCCGUAGCCACCGAACUUUAAGUCAGAGGGACACUUUUGGAUAGCGGAACCCGGGCGUUGGUUGACCCGGGCGAAAGGGAGCGAAAAUAUAGUAGCGAAGUCCGCGAUGCUGAGAGGCGAGAAAAGCUCUGAUGGAUACUAAGGUGCCCGUACCGCAAACCGACACAGGUAGAUGAGGAGAGAAUCCUAAGGCCAACGGGAGAAGGGUUGUUAAGGAACUCGGCAAGUUGACCCCGUAACUUCGGAAUAAGGGGAGCCUCGAAAGAGGCCGCAGUGAAAAGGCCCAAGCAACUGUUUACCAAAAACACAGGUCUAUGCUAAAUCGAAAGAUGACGUAUAUGGGCUGACGCCUGCCCGGUGCCGGAAGGUUAAGAGGAGAUGUCAGCGCAAGCGAAGCAUUGAAUUGAAGCCCCGGUAAACGGCGGCCGUAACUAUAACGGUCCUAAGGUAGCGAAAUUCCUUGUCAGGUAAGUUCUGACCCGCACGAAAGGCGUAAUGAUUUGGGCACUGUCUCAACAGCCCGCCCGGCGAAAUUGUAGUACUGGUGAAGAUACCAGUUACCCGCAACUAGACGGAAAGACCCCAUGGAGCUU
rnacentral:rRNA from 1 species